rnacentral:lncRNA from 1 species
UUUUUUUUUAAAGGAACAGAUAUAAAAUGUUUUGUUUAUGUAACAAGGGACAUUUAUAAUUUCAAGUUGAUAAUGUUUUAAACAGCUGCUUACAAAAGUAUUUCUGUUAAGCCUAUGUCAGCAUGUUAUCCAUGCAGCAGUUUUGAGGAUUUUACGAAGAAAAAGAGCUAAAAAGGAACAUUAAAAGGAAUGGGAUAUCCAGGUGUUCUGCACAUGCCAAACUGCUGUAGAUAGUUUACACUCUUCCAUUAUUUAUACGGAGUGAUGCAGCACAUUUUAGCAUUCAGGAGGAUUUUUAAAAAAUAGCUGCAGAUUAAUCUGGAAAACGUGCUAAUUUAAUAAUAGUUACAAAUUUAUAAAGUUAAAUCCAUUUGAAAUUGUUGCAUUAUGCUGGGUAGUAUAUACAAAAUGGUUAUCAUCUUACACCAACUUUUCAGAGAAUCUUGAUGGACUCUGCCUUUAGGCUUGAAUUCUUCAAAGUCUAUUUUAAUGAAAUUUAUCUAAAUUGCAGCAGUCUAUUUGAUUCAGCUCAUAGACAUGUAAAAAUUAUGAAUGCUGUUUUCUUAUGAAACAAAUUGUCACAGUGUAGUUAUACAUUCUAUUUUUGUCCCCUUUUCCCCUUUUCCUCCUGUAUCUUUUAAAAUUUGGAAACUACUUUUCCAGAAGGCAUUAUUUAUGCCUCCCUAAUAAGGUAUUUUAUUUAUGACAGAUGAAAAGGAACCAGGAUAUUUUUGCAUUUUUUCGCUUUCUUAGUCUGUGACAAGAAGUAGAAAUAUCACUAGUGUGGUAUAGGAACUUAUGUGUUUUUUAUGAUGAAAAUAAUUCUCAAUGCCACUUGAAAGGUAAUUGUGUCUGAGAGCUGCAGAUUUUUCAACCACAAAAUGUCACUUAUUCCUACAGGCUAUACAGAGGUCUUUAUGGUUUUUUUGUUUUGUUUUGUUUUAAUGGCAACAUUGUAACUGUCAAACUAAAAGGGUAUUCUGUGAUUAUCUUUUAAGCAUUACAGAAAUUCAAGUGAAAGUUAUAUGCUUAUUUCUAUUGAUGUUAAAAAUGAUAAUGAAAGCAAAAUUAGCUGUAUCUGUAAUUUUCUCUCUAGUGCCAAAUGAAUGCCUUAGCUACUCAUAGUGCAUGGUACUGUAAGUAAAGACCUGUAGCUUUUUUUUUUUCUUUAAUGAAAAGCAUUAUAAUGAUGUAGCAGCAUCAGAUAUAAACUUAAAAAAAGGUUUCAAUUAACAUUUUAUAUAUGGAUAAUGCUUUGUAAAGUAUAAGAGAAAGGUUGCAGUUGGAUCAGUAUAAAACAAUGACCAAGCCAAAAUCAACACCUAGGGCCUUAAAUAAAAUAGAGAUACCCCACAAAAUGAAAUAUUUUGAAGGAUGGGAGGGGACAGAAGGGGAGACUAUCCCCCAAGGAUGCAAGAUACUUUUUACAGUUGCUAUCAUUAUACUUUGUCUUCUUGCUUCAGUUAGGAAGAUUUUGAUGGUAAAUUCUGUCAUGGUAAUAGAUAUCUAUUUUCCUAACCUGAGAUUUUACAAGGAAGGUUUUUAGGUUGGCUUAAACAGAGGUAUUUAUUUGAGUGAGCCCUAAUUUGAAAAUUACCAGACUUGAUCCUCCUAGUAUGAAUCAAGGAAAUACUGUACCUUGCUCUUAGCAACUCUCAGUGGCCUGAAAGAGAAAAUGCACUUCUUCAAGGUGAGUGAAUCAUGCUUUUUCCACAGUUCAGAUCAGACCCUUUAUUUUUCAAACUACAAGGCCUGCUUAUUGGACAGUCUAAGGAAUAGCUUUGAUACUUGGUAUUCAGUUGGUUCCAUUAUUAAUGUAUAUUAUUUUUAUUUAAACAUCAAAACUUAAAAUAUCAGAUAAUGUUGCAUGUUUUAAAAACACAUUUCAUCCCUUUGGCUACCCAGGACCAGCACUAUUUAAGACACUGCUUAUUUAUAAAAUGAGGAUAAUGAUUAUAUGUACAUAUUCAGACAUCAAAAUUUAAUGACAUUCUAUUUUGAGAAGGGAAGACAAUGCUGAAGAAAGUAAAACUGUUGAUUGAAAUGCUGACAGGUUGGAGAACGAAUUUGAAGACAGUGGAAUAAACUAUGAACUAUGCUAAUGGUAAUUAGAUUUUUUUGUUUGUUUGUUUAGUAUAGUGGUAAAUCGUGUAGUAUCUUGCUGAGAAUCUAAUUCUAUCUUGUAAAAUCAAUCCAAAUGUGUAUUGUGAAACAUCUGUAUAAAAUCAUUUUUGAAAUAAGUGAUCUACAUGCCUGUUUUUUUAAAAUGUUUUUGGUAGAAUUGUUUGAAAAUAUGUUUAGCCAGACCCUUCCCCAACUUAAUUUUUUUUAAAAAAAGGAAAAUAGGUAAGGAAAUGAUAGUUUUAUAUCUCAGCCCUCUGUGAACUCUAGGCUGUCUCCAUUUUGCAGCCACUUUGGUCAUUUGAUGUUUACUAUUGGUAUACUUAUGCUUUGAAUUGUAACUCUUCAUUGAUGGUAUUACAGAUUCAACCAAAACUUCUCUGUCCUGUUCAGUAAUUGUUAUAUAAAUCUGGAUGAGCUAGGGAGGCCCGGGUGGAUGUUUUCAUUCGCAAAUCAUGAGAAACUUAAGUGGGUUUUAUGCACUUGAUAGAGUUGGCAAAAUUCAACUAUUGAGUUUAAGUUAACUAUUUAACUCAAGGAAUAGGUGGCAAACCCAUCCCCUCAAUUGAUAAAGAAGGGGGAACAUUUUUACAUUAGAACUGACACUGACAACAUAGCUUUUUCAGUCCACCCUGGUUGCUCUAGUAGCCCACAGCCCAAUCAUGUUAAGGUUCUUUGCUGUGGGAAUUUUAAAUAAACCAAACCCCAAAGCAGACCAUCUGUAAGCUUUGGUCUGCUUGUUUCUGAGAAGGGUUUUAUUUCAUUAUACUAAUAGUGGACUAAUAAUUGGUAAUUGUGAGAACUUAGGUAUGAUAGCAUUGUUUGAAGUAAAAUAUGAUCUGGGGGCAGCACCUUUUUAAAUACCAACUCUGUUUGACAAAUGUUUUGAAAAUUAAAAUUUCAAGUGAGCAACACCCUGUUAAGAGUUUCCACUAUAGUUGAGGCAGCUACUUUAUGAAUAAGACCACUUUGGGUUAUUCGAGCAGAAGCAUUUGUUUUUUUUUGGAAUGAGGUGGGAUGAGGAGUGAGUUGCCAGACCUUUGAUUACAGUUUGCUGGUUUAGAAACAGCCAGUGGCUGAAUUAGUGAAUAGAUGAAUGAAAGUAUAAAGGACUUGUUUUUUUAUGGUAGAUUUUCUGUAAGAAUCUUUAAUGUUCCUUUUCAGAUUAGUCAGAUGUGUUGAUGCACACAUGACUAUUCUGUUUUUCUCACUGACUAUAACAUUAAAAAGGGGUUAAAGAAAACAAAACUCUGCCUUUUGUGCUAUGAAAUAUUUUUAGUCCAGAGGUUUUAAGCUAUGUGUCCAUUCCUACUCUGAAAAUGCAUAGCUUUGUUCUGGAUGUUAUCUCUUGAAAGCAGAAAACUCCUAUGUGUUUAUCACAUUGCAGGGCUUUCUUAUGUAUUUCUGGCAGACUUGCCCAAAUCUUUAGAUGGGCUGGGUUGUACAGCAUGCCCUCCCCCAAAUAUGGGAUCUGAAAUAAAUACUACACUAUUGAUAGUGGAGAUAUAUUAAUUUUUAAAACUGUAAAGUAAAUGUGGUCUCUAGUCUAGGUUUGUGGUGUGUACCUUUGUGUUAAUGUGUAGGGAAGAGACAGUGACUUGAUGGUUAUGGGGAGUGUAUCUUGAUGUGUGUAUAGGGAUAAGUAUUGCUAAAUUAUUAACAGCUUUUAUUCAGGGUGAGUCAUGUGAUGAAUGGCCUAAUCAGAAAAAUGAAGGAGCAAAGAUGCAAGCUUGCCAAAUGAUGAAACGAACAAGAUUUUGUAUCUAUUUUUUAUCAGGUGUUGUAAAAUUUGUGCAUGGCUUUUUGUUGUUGUUGCUUAGUAACUGGUAGAGAAGAAAAGAUGAGGAAAGAAACUCAGCUUUCCUCACCAGUCUUUUCAGAGGUACACAGUUGGGGAGUAAAAUCUGACUGGCCUAAUCGAUGGAAAAGACCCUGUCCUUUUCACCCCAUCCUGCAAUCCUCCGUGCAGAGGAACUACAUUGUUGUAUUCUAGUAAUUCACUGUGAUUUAUAACAAACCGGUGAUGUCAUUCUAUUGUGCACUUUUGUCAAACCAUUUAUGUGACUUUAAUAAACAUAGUAAACUUGCCGACU